CGGGCGGGUGAGUAAUGUCUGGGAAACUGCCCGAUGGAGGGGGAUAACUACUGGAAACGGUAGCUAAUACCGCAUAACGUCGCAAGACCAAAGAGGGGGACCUUAGGGCCUCUUGCCAUCGGAUGUGCCCAGAUGGGAUUAGCUAGUAGGUGGGGUAACGGCUCACCUAGGCGACGAUCCCUAGCUGGUCUGAGAGGAUGACCAGCCACACUGGAACUGAGACACGGUCCAG
rnacentral:rRNA from 1 species